AGAGAGGAAACUCCAACUCAUUUUAUGUGUCUGAUAUUAUCUUCAUACCAAUACAUGGCAAAUCAAUAUAAGAAAGGAAAGUUACAAAUCUCACCUGUGAGCAUAAAUGCAAUAAUUCUAAGUAAAACAUUAGCAAACUAAACCCAAACACAUAAAAACUGAAAAAGAACACCCAGAAGCGAAUUCUUCAGGCACAGAAAAAUAAUCCCAUGCAGAAAUACAGGAGUUCAGGAAGGAAACGAGAGCACCAGAAACCGAAGGUGUGUGAGUAAAUCCAAACGAGUACUCACCGUAUACAACCCAAAACAAUGUCGUGUGAGGACUCUGGCUGCAGGCGCCCUCAGAACUCACCAGGAGCUACCAAGGGGAAGGUCUGCUCUGCUGGGAGGAGGGAGAAGACACCGUGUCGUAUUUAACCGCGUUUUCCCAGCGUAGUAGUUAGAGUGAGUGCUGCUAGCUGCUGUAACGACUCCUGGAAUGACAGAACUCGUUUCCAACGCCAUGGUAACAUUCAAGACCUGGUGCUCCCUGGGUCAGCUAAGUCCCUGAGUGACCACACAAAAGAGACAAAAGGACCUUUCCCUUUGUCCCGAGAUCUCUCUGGAGUGAUCACAGAGCCAGUCACAGACUCCUGAGGGUUUGGUGCAGCCCUGAGGAGGAGCUAAGACCCGGACCUCGCAUCCCCUCAGACCCACAGCUUCUGCAAAGCCCCUACGUCCACUCCCAGGGGGACACUUCCCCUUGGUCCUCUCACCUCUUCAUGGAGUUGGCCAAAUGGACUGAAACUAACAAAAGACCUGCCUUUCAGCUUGUUUGGGGAGGUUUAAACACUGGGUUUCUCAGUAAGAAUUUUCCUCCUUUUAGUGAUAAAAACUCUCUACAUUUCUAA